rnacentral:rRNA from 1 species
UAAGCUAGUAAGACCCCUUGAAGACUACAAGGUUGAUAGGUCAGAGGUGUAAGUAUGGUAACAUAUUUAGCUGACUGAUACUAAUAGGUCGAGGGCUUGACCAAUAA